UGCACGCACCCAAUCUCCCAUUCUCAUCUCCUUUUGAGCUUGACCAGCAGUCCAAUCUGACGCUUUAUUAGCUUCUCUCUUGACUUUUUCUAAACAAAAUCUCUUCCAGCUUUCUACCAUGAUCCUCGAUAGAUUGAACAAAAGGCAGCAAUUUCCAAUUUGUACUCCCACCAGCCCCUUUAGCCCGAAUUUGGGUGGGGAUUAAGUAUGGUAAACCCACCGCCCAUCCAAACUCACCCUUAAUCUCUUUACACAUUAUAUCAGAGUCAGUUUCUGCAAUAACUUUGUUCAUCUGCUACUUAACUGCCCACUUUACCCCCCCCCGGGUCCAUAACUGCAAUUGCUUCAGCUUCCUCAGCCGAAUCAACAUCAAUCUUCUUGGCCAAGCCUGCAAUCAAUUCUGCUCUAUCAUUUCUCUAGAGAAAGCACCAUCAUUAUUCAUUAUUAAAUGUUACUAUAUUCUUCUUUUUGGUA